AAGUCGUAACAAGGUUUCCGUAGGUGAACCUGCGGAAGGAUCAUUAUCACGUAUCCACGUAUAAACCAAUUCGUGAACUGUUUUACCCCACCUCUGGGCUAUGGCCGCUGUCAUUUGGACGCAUGAGUUCAUUGUAUGAUUAUGGACUCGUCCUUGGCAAUUAAGGCUGUUUCUUCAGAGCGUAUUAAUCAUACUUUAAUCAAUUAACCACUUGAACACUAUGUAAAUUUUCUUUGUUUGAACUGAUUUGUUUCUUACUCAGCGCUGUGUAAUAACGGCGCCGAGAAGAAAUCGAUUUACGAAACAAAAAAGAACAACUCUUAGCAACGGAUAUCUUGGUUCUC
rnacentral:misc_RNA from 1 species